AUUGAACGCUGGCGGCAUGCUUUACACAUGCAAGUCGAACGGUAACAGGCCUUCGGGUGCUGACGAGUGGCGAACGGGUGAGUAAUGCAUCGGAACGUACCCAGAGGUGGGGGAUAACGCAGCGAAAGCUGUGCUAAUACCGCAUGUGAUCUGAGGAUGAAAGCGGGGGACCGAGCAGCAAUGUUUGGCCUCGCGCCUUUGGAGCGGCCGAUGUCGGAUUAGCUAGUUGGUGGGGUAAAGGCCUACCAAGGCGACGAUCCGUAGCUGGUCUGAGAGGACGACCAGCCACACUGGGACUGAGACACGGCCCAGACUCCUACGGGAGGCAGCAGUGGGGAAUUUUGGACAAUGGGCGCAAGCCUGAUCCAGCAAUGCCGCGUGCGGGAAGAAGGCCUUCGGGUUGUAAACCGCUUUUGGCAGGAACGAAACGGUGUCCGCUAAUACCGGGCGGUAAUGACGGUACCUGCAGAAUAAGCACCGGCUAACUACGUG
rnacentral:rRNA from 1 species